rnacentral:rRNA from 1 species
UACGUAGGGUGCGAGCGUUGUCCGGAUUUACUGGGCGUAAAGAGUGUGUAGGCGGCCAAGCAGGUCCGUUGUGAAAACUGGAGGCUUAACCUCCAGACGUCGACGGAAACCGCGUGGCUAGAGUCCGGAAGAGGCGAGUGGAAUUCCCGGUGUAGCGGUGAAAUGCGCAGAUAUCAGGAGGAACACCAAUUGCGAAGGCAGCUCGCUGGGACGUUACUGACGCUGAGACGCGAAAGCGUGGGGAGCAAACAGG